rnacentral:lncRNA from 1 species
CAACUCAUCAACAGUCUACUCCUUUUAUGUAUUGGAAGCUUGUCAACUUCUUUUUGAAAAGUUAAAGUUAAGUUAGAGCUAAGACCAUAAACAUAUGAAGACUGUCUGAGAAGACAUGACUGGAAACUGAAUAGGGCUGGGCGUGGUGGCUCACACCUGUAAUCCCAACAAUUUGGGAGGCCGAGGCGGGGGGAUCACCUGAAGUCAAGAGUUCGAGACCAGCCUGGUCAACAUGGAGAAAUCCUGUUUCCACUAAGAAUACAAGAAUUAGCCAGGCGUGGUGGCAGGUGCCUGUAAUCCCAGCUACUCAGGUGGCUGAGGCAGGAGAAUUGCUUCAACCCGGGAGGCAGAGGUUGCAGUGAUCCAAGAUCAUGCCACUGCACUCCAGCCUGGGAGACAGAGAAAGACUCCAUCUCAGGGGAAAAAAAAGAAAAGAAAAGAAAAAGAAAAGAAAACUGAAUAAUACUCUAUUUUUCUACAAUGAAUCUAGAAGAAAAAGAAAAGACCAAAUAUAGGAUUACUUGAAUGAGAUACCGGGAAUGAUCUUCCCCAAUGAGAAGAAAUAAAUGUGUUAAGUGAAACAUAAAAAGGCAUUGCUGAACUGUUAUGGUAAUAAGGAAUCUGCAGAGACACAUUUGUUGGGAAAGUAGAGAUCCACUUCACUUCUCGGGAUCCACUCUGAUGGCUUCAUGGAUAACAGAUCAUAAACUCGACAAAAAAGAUGGAAUUUGGAGGACAAGACAAGAGAUACUAAGAAGAGUAAACCCAAUAAACAGACUGCAGCACAGAAAGGGUCCAGGACCAGGGAGGUGGCUUGUUCAGGAAAGAGUUAACUCAACAGGUCUGGGAUAUUCAAAUCCCACACAUUUCGAAAAAAAGUUCUCUCCUCAUUGGCUCCUGGGAGAAAAUCUCUACGUCUUUGGACUAUUCUUCCA